GCCUGGCUGGCUCAGUCAGUAGAGCAUGCGACUCUUAAUCUCAGGGUCAUGAAUCUCAGGGUCAUGAGUUCAAGUCCUAUGUUGGACA
rnacentral:tRNA from 1 species